AAUAAUUAAAUUUGAUUAUGCUUACUGGCUGAUGUUAAUAAUCUUGAAUUAGUGGUCAAUUAAUUAGCCUAAGUAGGUCAUAGAGACCGUGAGUGCAUUUACUUUUGGGGAAUGCAGCUCUGGUCAAUAUAUUGGUUAAUGUCUACUUUCAAAGCAAAAACUUAAAGGUCCACUGCGGGAAAGUUAAAUAUCCACUAACUCCAUCUUUCCUGUCCUCCAGGGGGGCGUUCUCUGAGGUGUUCCUGGCUGAGGAGAAGAAGACCCAGCGACUCGUGGCCAUCAAGUGCAUCCCUAAGAAAGCAUUGGAGGGCAAGGAAAACAGCAUUGAGAAUGAGAUUGCUGUGCUACACAGAAUAAAACAUGAAAAUAUUGUUUCACUGGAAGACAUCUUCGAAAGUCAGUCGCAUUUGUAUUUGGUCAUGCAGCUCGUAUCGGGGGGAGAGCUCUUUGACAGGAUUGUAGAAAAGGGCUUCUACACCGAGAGAGAUGCCAGCAAACUCAUUCGGCAGAUUUUAGAUGCGGUGAAGUAUCUGCAUGAUAUGGGCAUUGUGCACAGAGACCUGAAGGUAAAGCUUACCGAUUCUUUCCCUAU